rnacentral:rRNA from 1 species
GACGAACGCUGGCGGCGUGCCUAAUACAUGCAAGUCGAGCGAAUCCGCGGAUGGGUGAGUAACGCGUGGGUAACCUGCCCUAACGUCUGGGAUACCAUUUGGAAACAGCAGCUAAUACCGGAUACUAAAGGAGAGACCUUCGAUGCAUUAGCUAGUUGGUAAGGUAACGGCGUACCAAGGCGAGGAUGCAUAGCCGAGUUGAGCGACUGAUCGGCCACAUUGUGACUGAGCCACGGCCCAAACUCCUACGGGCGUCAGCAGUAGGGAAUCUUCCCCAAUGGACGAAAGUCUAAUAGGGAAACGCCGCGUGAGUGAAGAAGGUUUUCGGAUCUUAAAGUUCUGUUGUUGGUGAAGCGGUAAUCAACCAGAAAGUCACGGCUAACUACGUGCCAGCAGCCGCGGUAAUUC